rnacentral:rRNA from 1 species
GAUGAACGCUGGCGGCGUGCCUAAUACAUGCAAGUCGAGCGGAAAGACGAUGCUCUUGCUCCUCUGACGUUAGCCGCGCACGGGUGUGUAACACGUGUAUAACCUCCCUAUCAGACUGGUAUAACUUCGGGAAACCGGCUCAAAUCCCGUAUAAUAUCUUGAACCGCAUGGUUCAAUAGUAAAAUACGGUUUUGCUGUCACUUAUCGCUGGAUCCCCGCCGCAUUAGCUAGUUGGUACGGUAACGGCUUACCAAGGCAACGAUGCGUAGCCGACCUGAGAGGCUGAUCGGCCACAUGGGAACUGAGCCACGGUCCAGACUCCUGAGGGAGGCAGCAGUAGGGAACGUGCCGCAACGGGGGAGAGCCUGACGGAGUAAGGGGGAGUGAGUGACGAAGACCUUCCGAGCGUAAAACUCUGUUAUGAGUGAAGAACAAAUGUGUAAGGAAACAUGCCCGUAUUGACGGUACCGAAUAAGAAAGCAACGGCUAACUACGUG